UACGGAAGGCAGCAGUGGGGAAUAUUGCACAAUGGGCGCAAGCCUGAUGCAGCCAUGCCGCGUGUAUGAAGAAGGCCUUCGGGUUGUAAAGUACUUUCAGUCGUGAGGAAGGUGUUAAGGUUAAUAACCUUAGCAAUUGACGUUAGCGACAGAAGAAGCACCGGCUAACUCCGUGCCAGCAGCCGCGGUAAUACGGAGGGUGCGAGCGUUAAUCGGAAUUACUGGGCGUAAAGGGCACGCAGGCGGUUAAUUAAGUUGGAUGUGAAAUCCCCGGGCUUAACCUGGGAAUGGCAUUCAAGACUGGUUAGCUAGAGUCUUGUAGAGGGGGUUAGAAUUCCAUGUGUAGCGGUGAAAUGCGUAGAGAUGUGGAGGAAUACCGGUGGCGAAGGCGGCCCCUUGACAAAGACUGACGCUCAUGUGCGAAAGCGUGGGGAGCAAACAGGGAUUAGAUA
rnacentral:rRNA from 1 species